AGAACGAACGCUGGCGGCAGGCCUCAAACAUGCAAGUCUAGGGGGUGUAGCAAUACAUCACCGGCGGACGGGUGCGUAACACGUGGGAAUGUACCUACUGGUUCGGAACAACGCAGGGAAACUUGCGCUAAUACCGAAUAAGCCCGAAAGGGGAAAGAUUUAUCGCCAGUAGAUCAGCCCGCGUAGGAUUAGCUAGUUGGUGGGGUAAUGGCCCACCAAGGCUCCGAUCCUUAGCUGUUCUGAGAGGAAGAUCAGCCACACUGGGACUGAGACACGGCCCAGACUCCUACGGGAGGCAGCAGUUGGGAAUCUUGGACAAUGGGGAAACCCUGAUCCAGCCAUGCCGCGUGAGUGAUGAAGGCCUUCGGGUUGUAAAACUCUUUCGACGGGGACGAUAAUGACGGUACCCGUAGAAGAAGCUCCGGCUAACUUCGUGCCAGCAGCCG
rnacentral:rRNA from 1 species